GGCUUGGAGCAGCCUGGGAUGGUGGGAGGUGUCCCUGCCCAUGUCAUGGGGUGGGAAUGAGGGGAUCCUUAAGGUCCCUUCUGACUCAAACCAUUCUGGGAUUCUGUGAUUUAUCCAGGAUUUCUGUCACUUUGGGUAACCCACAAAGAGGAGCUGAGAAUUCUGCGUUUACGUGGGUGGUUAUUGGUUUCUCUGAGUCUGGAUUGAAAGCACUUGAGAUGGUAUUUCAUGUUUGGACUCAGGUGUUUAUUAUUUCUUAUCAGUAAAACAGCUUCACAACCAUGAGUUCUGCAGUAUUUCACUAACAAGGCACAAAAUGGCUACAAUGUCCUGUUACAAGGUCUUUUAAGACUAAAUUAUCGAAUUAAGAACUGACACCUAGAUUAUUUUCCCUUUUAACCCAAUAACUGAUCUCUGGAAGCCCACAAUGAGGACUUUUCUGCCCAAUUACAAAACAUUACCCAAACCCAUGAAGAAGAAGGAAGAAGAAGGAAGAAGAAGGUGAAGAAGAAGGUAAACAAGAAGGACCAGCCUCCACCCCAAAACCUCCAUAUUGCUUCAUAUUUAUUUCUAUAUUCUAAAAUCCCCAACUCUAAGUUUUCCACCCUGUGAUAGCACACACUUCUAUUCAAACUCCACACCCACAAUCCCAGUUCUGUCAUUCCAUUUUGGAAGCUUCUCCAUGGCCUCAGGUCAAUGCAGUGUUCUCCUGGGGGUCAGUGCCUGGCAGCACAGAAAGUUUAAAAUUCUCAGCAUCCAGGGCUCCAACAGGUGAUUUUAAUUAAUAUUGUCCUCCCUGGAAGGAUCAAAAAAGACACAACAAGGUGCGAGGAGCACAGCUCAGGAGAAAUUCUGCCUCUCAGAGGAGACACCACCCCACAGACUGGAUUUCUAGCAGCCAUUGCCACCAAAAAGCCACUUCUCAGAAGGAAAAUGGGAAUUUGGCUGAGUUCUCCCUCAAAAAAUUACACCAAGGGCCACGAGAGUCUUGACACCGACUUCUGGCUGCUGCAACUUUUGCUACAGUUUGGAAAUUCUCACUGCUAAAUGGAGAUAAUACUGAAAACACCUUUCUGUGGAAAUGUCAGGAAUUUAGAGAUUUAUUUCUAUGAAGUAUAUUUGUGCUCUGUUUCCAGUUUUGAAUCAUCCAGUUUGCUCAGGAAAACUCUUCUCCUCUUCUGGAUGGUGGAUGUUAGAGAAACGUGUCUCCUCUGCAAAUAUUUCUAGGCAAUGAAAUAUUGUGUAAUAUUUCAUUACACAAAUAAAUAUGUGUAAUGAAAAACUGGGCAACAUUUUACAGUUAAAACUUCUUUUUUUCCAUGAGAGACAUUCAGAUUUAGAGGCCAGAAGGUUUAUUCUUCUGGUUUAAUAACAAAACAGAAUGUUUAUGACUGGUAUUUUCAAUUCAUUUGUGUAGAAAUGGGACAAACAGCAAUUUUGAAAUGUGCUUGUAUUGCCUCUUUUCCUGCUUUUCAGAAUUAUAUCUUUCACCUUGUGGAUUUGAAUGGAAUUUUGAAUUUUUAAUGGUACCAUUUGAGCAAAAAGCCCUUUACUACAGAAUCCCUUAAAGAAAACAUUUGAAGCCGAAACUGAGAUUAUUAUUUACCCCCAAACAAUGCUUUUGCACCAUUUAUUACUUUGUGUUCUUUUUUUUUUUUUUUUUUUAAGAAUGGGAUUUGUUUUAUCCUGAAAUUAUUUUUCCUGUCUGAUUUAUGCACAAGCUGAGAAAGCAACUCUCUUGGAGCUCUAUUAAUAAGUGCUGUGAGAGGCCGUGGGCUGCAGCUGAUGAAAAGCUACUGCAUACGUACAAAUCCAUAUUAUUCUAUAUAUUUAUAAAAUAAAAGGGGUGUUUUUUCCCCUCCUUUGACUUGUGCUGCUGCAUUUAUAUGGGAAAGUGGAAUAUUUUUCUUUAGGUGCUAGAAACUUCUAUUUGAAGACACAACUAUAAACUUGCUUUUCCCUGCUGAAAACUGAAUUUCCUCCUGCUGAAAUUAGGAGGAAAAAUAAGUCUUGGAGGGGUUUUGCUUGCCAAAGAUACAUGCAAACCUUUUUUAAGGUUUGUAUGUAUCUGGAGUUUCUGGGGUGAAGGGAUUUUAGGACAUUAAAUGGAAUUUUGCUGAUAUCACUGUGUUUGUAGUUGGGUCUGAAAUGUUGGGGUUUUUUUUUUUAGCCAUGAUAUCAACAUGGACAAAACACUAAUUUGGGAGUGUUAAUUUUCCUGAUGGGCACAAGGGACAUUCUUUAGGGGAACAGGAAAUGGCCCUGACCCAUAGAGGCUCCUAAAGGACACCUGGGCAAGGACUGGGAAGGUCCUGGUGGGAGGCCAAAACUGUAACAAAAGCUUUUCUAAGGGUUUAAAGAGUUUGGGUGAGCCUGGGAUAGUGUUUGGUUGCUGGUGAAGAUGUUUCUGGAGAGUUUCACCUUUUUUUUUUCCUCAGGUCAGAGUUCUCCAAUGCACCAACCUGCUCUGGAGGACUUUGUAGCUUGGAAAUGAAGGAUUUGCUUCCAGUGACAGCACAGACCAUAUUUUGGAGAGAUCUGACUUCCAGAACAAUUAUCUCGAGGCUUCCAAAGCAUCCAAGAGAGGAUGGAAGUUGUGAUGAAGAUUCUGUGAGAGAUCUGUGUCAUUCUGGAGCCUGGUGAGCUCUGCUGCAGAAGAGGGAUGAGAGCCUGAGGGGUGAUUGAUGCCAUGGGGUGGUGUUUCUGCUGUUUAUCCCUAUUAAAAAAAGGUAAUAUACUUUUUUUUAUUUUUUUUUAAAUGUGAUGUUACCCACUGAAGUUGCAUUUCAAAAGCACUUGUAAAACUGCAAAGCCAACCCUUCAAAAGCUGGGCAACACCAGUGGGACUUGGGCAAUCCUAAAGAGAAGGAUAAGGGAGAAAAUGCUCUCACAUGUGCCUGCUCAUGCUGCCCCUGAGGUGAAAUCCCAAUAAACAAGUUACAAACCAGACCAAUUCAUUUACAUGGCUUGUCUGCUUUGAGGAGAGACUCACAGAAAAGAGGAAUUACAGAGGGCUGGAAUGAGUCACUGCACUGCCUGCAAGGCUGAAGGGAGCUGGGAUCACUGGGCCUGUGAAAUAUUUGCUGCUAAAAGUAGAUAAUAGGAAUAUAAAUAUCUAAGCAUCAAUUUAAAUAUAAACAUAAAUAUGAAAUAAGCAUAAAUGUAGAUAUAUUUCUUAUAAAUAAAACAUAGAAAUAGAAAUAUCCUAUAAAUUCAAAGCUGUACCAGGAGGAGAACAUUCAUGGUCACCUCAUCAAUCCUACAUGGAGCAGUACAUGAAUUUUAAUGCCCAUUUCUGAAAAGUUUGGGGAGAGGAGAAAGAAAAUCAUAAUCCAUGGAGAGCAGGGGUUGCCCUGAGGUCAGGUUUCUUCCUCAUGACUGGUUUUGGUGGCAUUUCAGACACCCUAAAGCCAGCUCAGGGAUGUUGUUCAUGCCAUCCUGCUGCCCCAGCAAUGCCCUUGUGACCUGUAAGGUCUGACAAUGAAAAGGAACCCACUAAAAAUGUGGAAUAAACCCUAAGGAUACAGCUACUGCAGUGGGUGAAAUAGGUUUGGGAUCCUUCUCCAGUAUUGAGGCCUGCUGCAAUGGCCCAUUUUUAUUUUAUUAAACUUUGACUUUCUGAAAUGUUUCCAUCCAAAAUGUUCAUCAGCAAUGACCCACACCACCUUCCCCCAUGAGACACUCCCAGAAAUUCUUUGGGAAUGUGCCAUUUAUCCUCAGCACAAGGCACACCAAGGAGUAUUGUAGCAA